GAUGAACGCUGGCAGCGUGCCUAAUACAUGCAAGUCGAGCGAAUGGAUUAAGAGCUUGCUCUUAUGAAGUUAGCGGCGGACGGGUGAGUAACACGUGGGUAACCUGCCCAUAAGACUGGGAUAACUCCGGGAAACCGGGGCUAAUACCGGAUAAUAUUUUGAACUGCAUGGUUCAAAAUUGAAAGGCGGCUUCGGCUGUCACUCAUGGAUGGACCCGCGUCGCAUUAGCUAGUUGGUGAGGUAACGGCUCACCAAGGCAACGAUGCGUAGCCGACCUGAGAGGGUGAUCGGCCACACUGGGACUGAGACACGGCCCAGACUCCUACGGGAGGCAGCAGUAGGGAAUCUUCCGCAAUGGACGAAAGUCUGACGGAGCAACGCCGCGUGAGUGAUGAAGGCUUUCGGGUCGUAAAACUCUGUUGUUAGGGAAGAACAAGUGCUAGUUGAAUAAGCUGGCACCUUGACGGUACCUAACCAGAAAGCCACGGCUAACUACGUGCCAGCCGCCGCGGUAA
rnacentral:rRNA from 1 species